rnacentral:lncRNA from 1 species
UUGGACAAGCGUUGUAAUAAUUUAUUUUGUUCUCCAUUUUCUGCUAGUCGCCAACACUCCUCGUAUUUUUAUGACUUCUCCACUGUCUCUGCGAUCCUACUCAACACUCGAAGGAAACUCAUCGCCUGCUAGCCCAUCACCAGACAACAGCCCUUCUAAAUCCCAAUCGCCUGUUAAACGUAGGAGAAUGCUCCAUUGUGACACCCCGUCUACAUGCGCACAAGAAAGCAGCGGACAACGAAAAACAAAGCGAAGUUUAAACUACGAGGGUGAUUCUGAAGGAAAACCGGUUUACCAAAUGUGACCACUGCACAAAUUAUAAAAAGCAACUAGAGGCAACAAUGAAUAAAGCUAAAAGAAAGGCCAUUCAAGAACUUCUGGAUGAACACAUUGAACGUGUUAUGAAUGAACGAAGAAAAUAUCAUCUUCAUCGGUACAAAGCACGGCGGAGUCCUUCAAAGUAUCUAACAAUCAUAUUGGAUGGUAUGGAUCAAUCCAAAACUGAUGUACCAAAUCUUC